CGAAACCCAGGAAUUCCAGAAGAAGAGAACUUUCCAGAAUCUCAAAUUGGUAAUGGCAGAACACUUAGCUUCAAUUUUCGGUACCGAAAAAGAUAGAGUGAAUUGCCCUUUCUACUUCAAGAUCGGUGCUUGUAGACAUGGAGAUCGAUGUUCCAGGCUCCACACGAAACCCAGUAUUAGUCCGACGAUUCUCCUCUCAAAUAUGUAUCAAAGACCUGAUUCAAUUACCCCUGGUGUUGAUGCUCAAGGCAAUCCUAUUGAUCCUCGCAAAAUCCAGGAACAUUUUGAGGAUUUUUAUGAAGACUUGUUUGAAGAACUGAACAAGUAUGGAGAGAUUGAGAGCCUGAAUAUUUGUGACAAUCUGGCUGAUCACAUGGUUGGUAAUGUUUAUGUUCAGUUUAGUGAGGAAGAGCAGGCUGCAAAUGCACUGAAGAAUCUUACUGGGAGAUUCUAUGCCGGAAGGCCCAUCAUUGUUGAUUUCUCUCCUGUGACUGAUUUUCGUGAAGCCACCUGUCGACAGUACGAGGAAAAUGUCUGCAACCGCGGUGGAUAUUGCAACUUUAUGCACCUCAAAAAGAUCAGCAGGGAAUUGCGACGUCAGUUGUUUGGAAGGUAUAGGACAAGGCACAGCAGAAGCAGGAGCCGAAGCCCUUAUAGGCAUCGCAGCUAUGAAGACCGCUCUCACAGGAGUCAUAGUAGAAAGCAUGAUGAAAGAGACCAUUAUUAUGAGAGUCGGAGCAGGAGGAACAGAAGUACAAGCCCUGACCACAGGAGGGGUAGGAGUAGGAGUCCCGGUGGCAGGAGAGACCGAAGUCCAGUUAGGGAUGGCAGCGAAGAGAGGCGCGCAAGAAUUGAGCAGUGGAACCGGGAAAAAGAACAGGCAGAACUUGAUAACAGGGCUAAUGCAGACAGUAACUACAAAAAUGAAAGCAAUGAGAAUGGAUCUGCUCCUAACCAAGAUCAAUAUUAUGAUCAACAAUGACAAGAAAGUGCAUAUGGAUAAUGAAUGAAUAUAUCGUGCUGGUUUGUGUCCUUAUCCCUUAUGAUUUUUGAUGCUUUUGUUCUGUCCUAAUGUAUUGUCUUCUGAGAGGGCCACCUGCCGUGUAAUAGAGCUUAAUGCCCAUUUUCUACUUGCAGGGGGUGCAGGUUUUCAAUUCUUUGAUAAGCUAUCUGAAAAGUUUUCGACCUUUAAUUUUUUUGGUGUUCUGGCUUUAGAUAUGCUUCUUUUUGUGCAUCAUUCGUUGUUUGUUAUUGCAUCUACCCUUUGAAUUAUUAUUUCAAGUUGAAAUAGUGGUUUGAACAUAAAUUAUCAUUGAAUUUGUAGACUUGAAGUUCCACCCACAAUUUUCAACUGUCACAAACUUCUUAUCCCAAAAACAUAGCUAUUUGAACACAACUUCAACCACCUGCCCUAAAUGUUUGUGUCAUUUCAAUUUGUUUUACAAUUUUGAACUUCUGUUGAGUGUUAUAGGGUGUAUACAUUUUUCUUUGACUUAUUCGUUUUGAUGUGAAAUUCCUCAACAUUUAUCCUAUGUGACAUUGUUCAAAUUUCACAAACUAUUGUGUUAUUGUUUGGGAGAAAAAUAUGUUGUCACAAAGUUUCAAAAACUUGUCGAAUUGGUGGUAAAUUCUCUGCACUGUAAUAAUACCAGUUUCGAAAAAAGAAA
rnacentral:misc_RNA from 1 species